AUUUAUUUACGACUGGGAGUUCAACUUAAGUAUUUAUGCCAUAAAUUAUUGUUAUUUAUUUAGUUAUUUUUAACUCCCAUAUUUUCUAGCAUUAUCUAAUAUUUUUUUUCUUUUACUAAAAUGAUAUAUGGGAUGUAAUUACUUUUACAAUAAUAAAAUAUUGUGGUCUAGUAAAAAGUGUUCAAGUCUUGGUGUAAUUACUUUUACUAUAAUAAAGUAAUUACGUAAGUCUAAGGAAAUGAUAAAAUUAAGCAAUCUUGAUCAUUUUUUUUUUUUUUUGGAUAAAAGCUGAACUUUUAGAGCGAGAGAAAGAAUAAAAGUAUGAUCAAGGCUUUCAAACUCUAGUGAACCCCCUAAAUAGGGGGUGCCCUUAAUCUCAAUCAAUGGAAUUAGAGCAUUUAAUUUUAGAAUUGGAGUGAAAUACUUAAGAAACAUGUAACCUGAAAUUUGAUCAUAUACCCUAAGCAACAAGCAACAUGUCACUGAAUGAGUGAGUUGCCAAUCCUUAAAACGGGUAAGUAACGUAUUUUAUCUCCUAGGUUAGGCAUUUUACCAAAAGUUUCUAUUGUAUCAAUCCACCUUUGUGUGAUUCAUGCUAAAGCAUAUACUUUGAGGGUGAGCCCAAUGCAGACAAUUUCAAAGCAGGCUCAUUCAUUAAAUAUAGAAGAUCACCCAAAUUCUCACCUUAAAUCUUUGGAGACAAUUUCAAGUUUUGGAUGGUUAUUUCUUGAGGGAGAGAGACCAUUGGCAUCCAUGGUGGAGCCAACAGCCGUGACGUGCUUGACGGGAUUGGAGCCCAGGGGCGUGUGCACUCAGGUAGGGAGAAAGCACCAGCAAGUUUUGUGAAUUUUUCUAAGAAUAUGAGCUUGCAAUACUACACUUUUUUUUUUGAAUAAUUAUAGUAAAUAAUCCAAAAUAUGAUAUCAUACCAAAUCCAAAGGAAAGAUAAUUUUAGGUGUAUUUUGUAAAACACACGUAUUAAAUAAGUACAUAUUCACUAUUUUCUUUCCAAGGCGUAUUCUCUAUUUAGAAUACUAGACAUUAGUCUAAAAACUUUCCAACAAAUAAUAGUCUAAUGGCAUUACUAGCUCUCUCAU